UAGACCGAUAGCGAACAAGUACCGUGAGGGAAAGAUGAAAAGCACUUUGGAAAGAGAGUGAAACAGUACGUGAAAUUGCUGAAAGGGAAACGCUUGAAGUCAGUCGCGUCCGCCAGAAUUCAGCCUUACGGUGUAUUUUCUGACGGACGGGCCAGCAUCACUUUCGAUCGCCGGAAAAGGGCAGAGGGAAUGUGGCACCUCCGGGUGUGUUAUAGCCUUCUGUCGUAUACGGUGGUUGGGAGUGAGGACCGCCUAUUUUUGUAGGAUGCUGGCGUAAUGGCUUUAAACGACCCGUCUUGAAACACGGACCAAG
rnacentral:rRNA from 1 species